UACAGAGGUCUCAAGCGUUGUUCGGAUUCAUUGGGCGUAAAGGGCGCGUAGGCGGCGGGUAAGUCGGGUGUGAAAUCUCAGGGCUCAACCCUGAAACUGCACUCGAUACUGCUCUGCUUGAGGACUGGAGAGGAGACUGGAAUUCACGGUGUAGCAGUGAAAUGCGUAGAUAUCGUGAGGAAGACCAGUGGCGAAGGCGGUCUCUGGACAGUCCUGACGCUGAGGCGCGAAGGCCAGGGAGCAAACGG
rnacentral:rRNA from 1 species